rnacentral:rRNA from 1 species
UACGAAGGGGGCUAGCGUUGCUCGGAAUGACUGGGCGUAAAGGGCGCGUAGGCGGUUUGUACAGUCAGAUGUGAAAUUCCUGGGCUCAACCUGGGGGCUGCAUUUGAUACGUGCGGACUUGAGUGAGGAAGAGGGUCGUGGAAUUCCCAGUGUAGAGGUGAAAUUCGUAGAUAUUGGGAAGAACACCGGUGGCGAAGGCGGCGACCUGGUCCUUGACUGACGCUGAGGCCGCGAAAGCGUGGGGAGCAAACAGG